UGGGGAAUAUUGCGCAAUGGCCGCAAGGCUGACGCAGCGACGCCGCGUGUGGGAUGAAGGCCUUCGGGUUGUAAACCACUGUCAGGAGGGACGAAUACCCGGUUCAUCCGGGGGUGACGGUACCUCCAGAGGAAGCACCGGCUAACUCCGUGCCAGCAGCCGCGGUAAUACGGAGGGUGCGAGCGUUGUCCGGAAUCACUGGGCGUAAAGGGCGCGUAGGCGGCCUGGUAAGUCGGAUGUCAAAUUCCGGGGCUCAACUCCGGGGCGCCAUCCGAGACUGUCAGGCUCGAGCACGGCAGGGGCGAGUGGAAUUCCCGGUGUAGCGGUGGAAUGCGUAGAGAUCGGGAAGAACACCCGUGGCGAAGGCGGCUCGCUGGGCCGUUGCUGACGCUGAGGCGCGAAAGCGUGGGGAGCAAACAGG
rnacentral:rRNA from 1 species